UGAGGAAUAUUGGUCAAUGGGGGCAACCCUGAACCAGCCAAGUCGCGUGAAGGAUGAAGGUCUUAUGGAUUGUAAACUUCUUUUACACGGGAAUAAAGUGGGGGACGUGUCCCCCUUUGCAUGUACCGUGUGAAUAAGGAUCGGCUAACUCCGUGCCAGCAGCCGCGGUAAUACGGAGGAUCCGAGCGUUAUCCGGAUUUAUUGGGUUUAAAGGGUGCGCAGGCGGGAUGUUAAGUCGGCGGUGAAAUUUUGCAGCUCAACUGUAAAAGUGCCUUCGAUACUGGCCUCCUUGAGUGUGGAUGAAGUAGGCGGAAUUCGUGGUGUAGUGGUGAAAUGCUUAGAUAUCACGAGGAACUCCGAUUGCGCAGGCAGCUUACUAAGCCACAACUGACGCUCAUGCACGAAGGCGUGGGGAUCAAACA
rnacentral:rRNA from 1 species